rnacentral:miRNA from 19 species
GCUACAACACGGGACCCGGGCG